rnacentral:lncRNA from 1 species
CGGAUACACAAGACUAAUUUACUUCCACAAAUUGUAGAGUUGUUUUACUUAAUACAAACUUUAUUUGAUGUUGCUCACUUAAGCUGUCGAGAAUUCACAACAUGUGUUGGAUCUCAACCAUUGAUAAAGAAUAAUUCGAUUUGCUCAUACAAGCUGUGAUAUUUGGGCUGCUCACACAAGCUCUAGGUCAGAUUUACUUUUGCAAACUUUAUUCGAUGUUGCUCACUCAAGUUAUUGAGAAUCCACAACACAUGCUGAAUCUCAGCCAUCGAUAAAGAAAUCUCUGACCAACACCUGGUUUCUUUUUGAAGAUUAAUGCCAUGCCAUUCAUAACUCAAUUGUUUACGAAGUUCAACUAGCAUCGUUACCAGUUCUAUAUCAUUACAAACUCUGAAACUAUAUACUCAUUUUUUCACAUUUCGAAUAAUAGCCCAUAUACAUUUUAACCCUGUAAUACCAUCAUAUACAUACUAUUCAAUCAUAUAUCAAUUUCACAUAUAAUCAUUAUCAUGUAUCUAUUCAUAUUAGUAAUUUAUUUCAUGUUUUUGGUUUAG